AGCUUUAUUUUCACGGCGUUGUCGCUUGUUCUAAAGUGCUUCGUCCAUUAAACACCGGCCGCGGGGUGCUGCGGAGGCUUUUCCCGCGAGGGAGAUGAUGUGGAGCUGUUGCAGCGAGCCUAAGAAGGCCAUUCCUGCCCGUGGCAAGGGGAUGGAAUAAAUUCAUUGAAUCAUAAAAUCUUAAGGGUUGGGAGGGAACUGAAAAAUCUCGUUUCACCCCCUGCCAUGGGCUGGGGCACCUUCCGCUACACGAGGUUGCUCCGAACUCCGUCCAGCCUGGGAGAAACAGGAAUAUAAUUUGGGAAAACGAUCAUAUAAAGCAAUUUUCAGCAUCUUUAUCCCUCCCCACUGAUGGAAACAGCAGUGGAAUCUGAUGGAAGAGCAGCUGGGUCAGCCAAUUGUGCAGUCCAGUUACAACAGUGUAGUUUCUAUGGGAUCAAUCACCAUCUUAAGACUUACUGCCCAAAAAUCCAGACAAAUGCUCUGAUUCACUCAGAUGAAAGAAACAAAAAGCUUAUGUUAUUUCUAAAAUCUGCAAUGCUAAUUCCUUCUUAGUCCAAGUAAUGUAAACAUCUCAGUGUCUUUGAUUACAGUAGACUACAAAUGUGAGUAAGGGUCUUGAUCCACCUCACUCUGCUCCAUUGGCUUUCCAGAUCAUUCCAUAGUCUUCAUCAUCAUCAAAAACCAUUUGAGUUUAUGCUCAAAUCCAUCCUUCUGAAGUGAUUACAUUCCAAAACACAAAAAUAUGUCCCUCCUUAGGAUAAAACUUGUAUUCCAAGGCUUGCCUUCCAUCCCAUUGUGAAUUAACUGAAGGCUGCUGGUACUUCUAUAUUCUUUACUUUUAAACUCCAGUGAAUGUGCAAGUAGUGCCUGAGCUGCCAACACCGUGAAACAGCUUUUGAUGUGUUUAUUUGGAUGGAAGCCUCACUGGGAUGGGCAUUCCAAGUAUUUCAGGAGGACUUGCAAAUCUGCAAUGCCGAGUCUAUAAAAUGCAUCUAAAUCUUCCAUGCUGGGGGUGGAUUUCUUGGUCCUUUAGGUUUUGAAAAUCGAUUUGCAAAGCCUAGGAAGAAAUUAUAUAUAUAUUUUUAAUGCAACAAAUUCUGUAUGUUAUAAAUGCUGAUUAUGUAAUCCCUUAAAAUAACACGGGAUUUGAAAAUACUUGUAGUUUCAGAUCUUUCCUAAGCUUUAAGAUAUGACAGAAAAGCAACAUCCUGUAGCUGCGAAUAAAGUUGUAAAUGUGUAAAAACUAAAUGUGUAAAAACCAAUGAGCAUUA